AUCAACGCUGGCGGCGUGCCUAACACAUGCAAGUCGCACGAGAAAGGGUAGCAAUACCUGAGUAAAGUGGCGCACGGGUGAGUAACACGUGACUAACCUACCUCCGAGUGGGGAAUAACUUCGGGAAACCGAGGCUAAUACCGCAUAACACUUACGAGUCAAAGCAGCAAUGCGCUUGGAGAGGGGGUCGCGGCAGAUUAGCUAGUUGGCGGGGUAAUGGCCCACCAAGGCGAUGAUCUGUAUCCGGCCUGAGAGGGCGCACGGACACACUGGAACUGAAACACGGUCCAGACUCCUACGGGAGGCAGCAGUGGGGAAUUUUGCGCAAUGGGGGAAACCCUGACGCAGCAACGCCGCGUGGAGGAUGAAGUCUCUUGGGACGUAAACUCCUUCGAUCGGACGA
rnacentral:rRNA from 1 species